AACUUCUUAUAAUGAUAUAUAUAUUUUUUUUUGGAUUAGUUACUUUAUCGUUAGAAAAUUAUAAUUGUAUAUUGUAUUACAGAUAUUUCUCCUGAGGUAAAACACCUUAAAGAAAUAAAUACCAAUAUACAAAUCCAAUUUGGAGUCUAUGAACUAGAAAUAAAGGAAUUAAAGAAGAAGUUGAAGGAGAAAGGUAUCAAAAUUUGGGACGCAGAAUCAAAGUUUAAGUCUUUAAAAAUGCGCAUCUUUUCUGUAUUUAAUUCAAACAAUAUAAAAAGCUUAAGUUGCAAGUUUUCACAUUCCAAAAUCCGCCUUUGGUCUAAUACAACCAUUGAGAAUUAACUUCAGUUAAGAUUCCUUGAGGAAGUAUAUGUUGUCCAAUUAAUCGAUUGCGCCAAAAAGUGUUUGGAUCCAUUUUCAAAAAUAGAGGCUUUACUCAAAUCUUAUGUAAAUCAAUUCAAAAAAAUGAAAAAAAUUGUAAACUCAAUAACUGAAGUAGGGGUUCCAUUAAUUAAGCCGUCUAUAAAUGUUGUAAAAUUUUAUUUUUUACUGUGUCUAAAUAUGUUAGUACAUAUAAGAAUGCACAUACAUUUACGAAUGCAAACUAAGAUUAUCAAAGAAAAUAGAAUAGCUUCUUCUACUUUCGGAAGACGAAGAAUGUGUAUGCAAAAUUAAGUAAGUUAAAGUAAUUAUUACAUUUUUUCAUAAUAAUUAAGCUCAAUAAAAUUAUUUUUUUAGUAUUCAUUUAUUCUAUUAAGUUCUUUCUGGGCCAUUUGAUAUCUGAAACAAGGGGGCGCUGAAAUUUCAGGACGUAAUUCUUCUUAUGAGGCUCUGCUUUUGACAAGUUUUACUAAAUUCUGGACUUAUUUAAAGCAUUCUGAGACAGAUACAGGCCUUAGACAUAAAAUAAAAGUUGUUCAGAAUUCUGAGUUUCGUACCUAAAGCUAUGUUUCGUUCUGGUCGGACCAAAUUCCUGGGCCUUGGAGGACAAGUUUUUUUUUUUUUGCUAAUAAGUUGAUGUUUUCAUAAAUCAGAAUCGAUUCCCUGUGGUUUUUUUUUUGUAGGCUGUAGAUUCGAAAAUGCACCAAAAAAAAAAAUUAAAAAUCCGAAAAACGGAGAAUGUAAAUAUAUUAAAUACGAAUUAAAGAACGAAAUUAGGAAGAGGAUUAGCGAGUUUGUCUUAGUAUGUAUUAAUAAAAUAUAUAUAUAUAAUACGGGUAAAUCCUAGUUAAUAAUAAUAUUAUGGCCUAUGCGACUCAUUCCAAUUAUGCUCAUGUAUUUAAAAAAAAAAUAGUGAAAAUAAUAGUUAAUAAGAAGAAACAAGCAUAAGAAUUGAUCAAUAAUUUGAUUGCAAUAAAUUAAUCUAUGUUAAGUUUUUAGGAGCUUGUACUGUUCCACAUUUUGGUACUUUAUUCAAAAUACAAUAUAUUAUUAAUAUAUAUUUUAACACUUAUUAAUUAUUAUAAAGAUAUCAUAAUUAACUAAUAAGUAAUAAGCUACAUUCUGUGAGACGUACAUAGGAAAAAGAAAAAAAAAUAUAUGUGGCCCCUCAACACAAAAGUAAGAAGAAUCAUUUUUCUAAAAAUUGAGGUUGGAUUACAUUUGUAUUCUUCGACGAAUUAUUUUCAAUUUCUAUGAACAAAUUAUUCUUAUGAACCCUUUAGGUGUGUCGGAAAUUGCACUUAAAGUAGCUUAAAUUGAUCGUCACAAUAUAAGAAAGAGUUUAAUAAAUAAAUAAGUAUAAAUCGUCUCCUAUUAUGGGAGAACGCUCGGCUUUGAGUAUAUAUGCAUCACACACCAUGUUCUGUCCUUGAAGGUUUUUUUAUAUUAAAUAAUGGGGGAGGGGAGAGAGAGAGGGUCCAAGGAGGCUUCCAGCAAAAUGAGCAAUGUACUAAUAUAUAAAUGGUAUUCUACCCGAAGGGAGGCAUGUAAGAUAGGCCUUAACAGCGAGGGGAGAAGUCUUUCCAAGGACAAUGAAGUAUAUUUGGCCUUAAAGCACGACUAUCAAGGUCGAUUGAAGAAGGGGAGAAAGGAAGUUCUCUCGCUUUACUAUAUGUUAACUUUUGUUAUAUGUAUGUAUUUACAAUGUGUAACUCUGUGAGAGCGGAAAAGAUGAUAUAUGCUUGUAUCUACACAUACACAAUGAGGAAAAAUAAUAUGGAAUCCCCAUGGAUCCUUGGUUCCAGUUUCCAUGGCAGCGACAGACGAUUCGUGAAUUUUAUUCAGAAGUUCCCUCAAUUUGUCUUUACUAUAUAAUUGAUAUAUUUCAUAUCUCUCAGAGGCAACAAGAUCUGCAAGUUUGAUAGCCUCCUUAAAUUGUUUUGAGCUGUGGUACACUGAAU
rnacentral:lncRNA from 1 species